UAGGGAAUCUUCGGCAAUGGACGAAAGUCUGACCGAGCAACGCCGCGUGAGUGAAGAAGGUUUUCGGAUCGUAAAACUCUGUUGCUAGAGAAGAACAAGGACGUUAGUAACUGAACGUCCCCUGACGGUAUCUAACCAGAAAGCCACGGCUAACUACGUGCCAGCAGCCGCGGUAAUACGUAGGUGGCAAGCGUUGUCCGGAUUUAUUGGGCGUAAAGCGAGCGCAGGCGGUUUCUUAAGUCUGAUGUGAAAGCCCCCGGCUCAACCGGGGAGGGUCAUUGGAAACUGGGAGACUUGAGUGCAGAAGAGGAGAGUGGAAUUUCAGGUGUAGCAGUGAAAUGCGUAGAUAUAUGGAGGCACACCAGUGGCGAAGGCGGCUCUCUGGUCUGUAACUGACGCUGAGGAUCGAAAGCGUGGGGAGCAAACAGG
rnacentral:rRNA from 1 species